GGAGUUAGCCGGUGCUUCUUCUGUGAGUGAUGUCCUUCCUGCCGGCUAUUAACCCGCAGGCCUUCUUCCUCACUGAAAGUGNUUUACAACCCGAAGGCCUUCUUCACACACGCGGCAUGGCUGGAUCAGGGUUGCCCCCAUUGUCCAAUAUUCCCCACUGCUGCCUCCCGUAGGAGUCUGGGCCGUGUCUCAGUCCCAGUGUGGCUGAUCAUCCUCUCAGACCAGCUACGGAUCGUCGCCUUGGUGAGCGUUACCUCACCAACCAGCUAAUCCGACAUAGGCUCAUCCGAUAGCGCGAGGCCCGAAGGUCCCCCGCUUUCCCCCGUAGGGCGUAUGCGGUAUUAGCCUGGGUUUCCCCAGGUUAUCCCCCACUACCGGGCAGAUUCCUAUGCAUUACUCACCCGUCCGCCGCUCGCCACCAGGGAGCAAGCUCCCCGUGCUGCCGCUCGACUUGCAUGUGUUAGGCCUGCCGCCAGCGUUCAAUCUGAGCCAGGAUCAAACUCUGA
rnacentral:rRNA from 1 species